UCAUGGCUGUUCCUCUCACUGCAUGGAGUCUUAGGUGGUGGGAUCAUCAUAUAUCUAAGCUGAUAUGUCUUCCCUCAGGGCACCAUGAGGAUGGCUUGGCUGUUUUCUAGUGCCUUCUGAUUUUUGUGGAGUCACACAGUU
rnacentral:snoRNA from 1 species